rnacentral:rRNA from 1 species
CAAUAGCGUAUAUUAAAGUUGUUGCGGUUAAAAAGCUCGUAGUUGGAUUUCUGUUGAGGACGGCCGGUCCGCACUAUGUGCGUGUAUCUGGUUCGGCCUUGGCAUCCUCUUGAGGAACGUAUCUACGCUUGAUUGCGUGGAGCGGUAUUCAAGACUUUUACUUUGAGGAAAUUAGAGUGUUCACGGCAGGCAAGCGCCUUGAAUACAUUAGCAUGGAAUAAUAAUAUAGGAUCUUGGUUCUAUUUUGUUGGUUUCUAGAGCUAAGGUAAUGAUUAAUAGGGAUAAUUGGGGGCAUUUGUAUUAACGCGUCAGAGGUGGAAUUCUUGGAUUGCGUUACGACAAACUACUGCGAAAGCAUUUGCCAAGGAUGUUUUCAUUGA